rnacentral:rRNA from 1 species
ACGGAGGGUGCAAGCGUUGUUCGGAAUUACUGGGCGUAAAGCGCACGUAGGCGGCUUUGUAAGUCAGAUGUGAAAUACUUGGGCUCAACUGAAGAACUGCAUCUGAAACUGCAUAACUUGAGUCCAGAAGAGGGAAAUGGAAUUCCCGGUGUAGAGGUGAAAUUCGUAGAUAUCGGGAGGAACACCAGUGGCGAAGGCGGUUUCCUGGUCUGAUACUGACGCUGAGGCGCGAAAGUGUGGGGAGCAAACAG